CACAGCCUCUGCUUCAGGGUCCUGUCUUUCUUGAAACUUCCUUUGGGGAUGUCUCCGGCAUUUCUGGGCCUUACCUUCCUCUUCACGUGGCCUUUCUUUCCUGCAGGGCAAGGAGGGCGCAACAGACUCCCCUUCCCUGGCAUUAAUUAUGGUGGAGCCGGCCACUCCACAGCCGGCAACCAGCAAGGCAACAUGAUAGCAAAAAUUGUAUCUCCCAUCGUCUCCAUGGUGGUGGUGACGCUGAUCGGGCUGGCGGUCAGGUACUAUAACCAGAGGAGAAACUCUCUCAGGACAAACGGCAAGUCCUCCCCCCGCCCCCGCCCCCGCCCCCNNNNNNNNNNCCCAAUUGUGUCUGCC
rnacentral:lncRNA from 1 species